GAACAUCCAGGACUCCAGCUUCUAUAUCUGUUCCCUCAGGUGCCGGCCCUCUCCUGGUGCCGUUCACUCUCAACUUCACCAUCACCAACCUCCGGUAUGAGGAGAACAUGCAGCACCCUGGCUCCAGGAAGUUCAACACCACAGAGAGGGUCCUUCAGGGCUUGCUCAGGCCCCUGUUCAAGAGCACCAGUGUUGGCACUCUGUACUCUGGCUGCAGACUGAUCUUACUCAGGCCUGAGAAGGAUGGGGAAGCCACUGGAGUGGAUGCCAUCUGCACCCACCGCCCUGACUCCAAAAGCCCUGGCCUGGAC